CCUCUUGCUUGUACUAUGUAUAGAAGCUUGUUAUUGGGAGCAUGUAUGUGCCCUUUUACCUCAAUACUUGUGGUAGAUUUGCUGGAGUUAGCAACGGAUAUUCUUUCUUUCCAACCAUUUGAGAUUUAGCAGUGGAUAUUCUUUCUGGCAUCUGAAUUAAGUACUCUGUGCCAUUUGAGUUGAUGGGGGAACCUUUCCUUUACGGCUGACUAUGGAUUGUUGUGUGUGCUGAUUAAGUUCUUUACUUAGCAGUGGUUUUUUGUUCAGCAUGUUGGCACUUCUGUGGUUUUUUUCACUUGUUCUCUGCCCUCCUAUUUGAAGACUGCUUUCUAGAGAAAAGUUUCGCCUUUGUGAA